rfam:TPA: Bos taurus chromosome 20, whole genome shotgun sequence.
UCCCUGCUGGCUCAGACAGUAAAGAAUCUGCCUGCAAUGCGGGAGACCCAGGUUCUAUCCCUGGGUCGGGAA